GAAUAAUAAAAAUGGCGCCUAUCGUGAAGCCUGUGCCUCGGCCUGUGCUCUUCAAUUUUGCAGCAAACGCUCAGCAGCCUCAGCAAGAUAAGACAAAACUGCUGUAUAAAAACUUCUCUAGCACUCUAGCAGCAGAAAGGGUCAUUACAGCACAACAAUAGCGUGGCUCAGGCGCUGAGCCCCUUUAAGCGUUUUGACAUUCAGUUCACUAGUAUUACUGAGGAAGAGGCUUUCAUGUACAACUGAUUGCCAUCUACUAAUGACAACUGGAUACUAUAUGUACAGGUCCUUACUAAGAACAAUGCUUAUCGUGUCUCUAACUGGACGACCCCAGUGAUCCUCAGUGUCCCUGGUGUAUCAUUCAGUGUAGCAGCUGCU